GAGGGUAUAGCUCAGUGGUAGAGCGUGUGCUUAGCAUGCAUGUGGUCUGAGUUCAAUCCCCAGUACUGCCA
rnacentral:tRNA from 1 species